GAAGAAAUGUCUUACACAUUGAAUGCUGGAGCGUUGAGUUUGGCCACUUAUUUUUUGAGCCCCAACCCACAAAUCCUUGUUGGAUAGCACAUAGAGAUCUGACGAUUCAGUGAAUCCUUGUAGUCAGCAUAUACAAGAACCAUAAUGUCAUGGGAUAUAUCAUCCAAGUUAUCGAGCACUUCCAUUCAUCUUGACAACGAUUGUUGCCCAUGUGCGGCUGUGCCAUUGUUUAUUCCACUGCUUUUUUCCUUCAAGCUAAACUCUGCUCUCUUGAGAUCAACCCCUCCC
rnacentral:lncRNA from 1 species